rnacentral:rRNA from 2 species
AACGAACGCUGGCGGCAGGCUUAACACAUGCAAGUCGAACGGUCCUUCGGGACAGUGGCAGACGGGUGAGUAACGCGUGGGAACCUACCCUUGAGUACGGAAUAGCUCCGGGAAACUGGAAUUAAUACCGUAUAUUCCCUGAGGGGGAAAGAUUUAUCGCUCAAGGAUGGGCCCGCGUUGGAUUAGCUAGUUGGUGGGGUAAUGGCCUACCAAGGCGACGAUCCAUAGCUGGUCUAAGAGGAUGAUCAGCCACAUUGGGGCUGAGACACGGCCCAAACUCCUACGGGAGGCAGCAGUGGGGAAUCUUGGACAAUGGGGGAAACCCUGAUCCAGCCAUGCCGCGUGAGUGAUGAAGGCCUUAGGGUUGUAAAGCUCUUUCAGUGGUGAAGAUAAUGACGGUAACCACAGAAGAAGCCCCGGCUAACUUCG